ACGAUGACCUCCUUCGGGAGGGGAUUAGUGGCGAACGGGUGAGUAACACGUGGGCAAUCUGCCCUGCACUCUGGGACAAGCCCUGGAAACGGGGUCUAAUACCGGAUACGACCACUGAGGGCAUCCUCGGUGGUGGAAAGCUCCGGCGGUGCAGGAUGAGCCCGCGGCCUAUCAGCUUGUUGGUGGGGUGAUGGCCUACCAAGGCGACGACGGGUAGCCGGCCUGAGAGGGCGACCGGCCACACUGGGACUGAGACACGGCCCAGACUCCUACGGGAGGCAGCAGUGGGGAAUAUUGCACAAUGGGCGAAAGCCUGAUGCAGCGACGCCGCGUGAGGGAUGACGGCCUUCGGGUUGUAAACCUCUUUCAGCAGGGAAGAAGCGAAAGUGACGGUACCUGCAGAAGAAGCGCCGGCUAACUACGUGCCAGCAGCCGCGGUAAUACGUAGGGCGCGAGCGUUGUCCGGAAUUAUUGGGCGUAAAGAGCUCGUAGGCGGCUUGUCACGUCGGUUGUGAAAGCCCGGGGCUUAACCCCGGGUCUGCAGUCGAUACGGGCAGGCUAGAGUUCGGUAGGGGAGAUCGGAAUUCCUGGUGUAGCGG
rnacentral:rRNA from 1 species